UGGGGACAGUGUUUGUGGGGCAGUGGGUGUAGUGUGUGUAUGGGGGGCAGUGUGUGUAUGGGGACAGUGUGGGGCAGUGUGUGUAUGGGGACAGUGUUUGUGGGGCAGUGUGUGUAUGGGGACAGUGUUUGUGGGGCAGUGUGUGUAUGUGGGGCAGUGUGUGUAUGGGGACAGUGUGUGUAUGGGGACAGUGUGUAUAUGGGGGCAGUGUGUGUAUGGGGACAGUGUGUGUAUGUGGGGCAGUGUGUGUAUUGUGUGCAUGUGGGCAGUGUGUUUAUGGGGACAGUGUUUGUGGGGCAGUGUGUGUAGUGUGUGUGUGGGGGGCAAUGUGUGUAUGGGGACAGUGUGUGUAUGGGGACAAUGUUUGUGGAGAAGUGUGUGUAUGGGGACAGUGUGUGUAUGGGGACAGUGUUUGUGGGGCAGUGUGUGUAUGGGGGGCAGUGUGUGUAUGGGGACAGUGCUUGUGGGGCAGUGUGUGUAGUGUGUGUAUGGGGACAGUGUUUGUGGGGCAGUGUGUGUAGUGUGUGUAUGGGGGGCAGUGUGUGUAUGGGGACAGUGUUUGUGGGGCAGUGGGUGUAGUGUGUGUAUGGGGGGCAGUGUGUGUAUGGGGACAGUGUGGGGCAGUGUGUGUAUGGGGACAGUGUUUGUGGGGCAGUGUGUGUAUGGGGGACAGUGUUUGU